rnacentral:rRNA from 1 species
CCUACGGGCGGCAGCAGUGAGGAAUAUUGGUCAAUGGACGCAAGUCUGAACCAGCCAUGCCGCGUGCAGGAAGACGGCUCUAUGAGUUGUAAACUGCUUUUGUACGAGGGUAAACGCAGAUACGCGUAUCUGUCUGAAAGUAUCGUACGAAUAAGGAUCGGCUAACUCCGUGCCAGGAGCCGCGGUAAUACGGAGGAUUCAAGCGUUAUCCGGAUUUAUUGGGGUUAAAGGGUGCGUGGGCGGUCGGAUAAGUUAGAGGUGAAAUCCCGAGGCUCAACUUCGGAAGUGCCUCUGAUACUGUUGGGCUAGAGAGUGGUUGCGGUAGGCGGAAUGUAUGGUGUAGCGGUGAAAUGCUUAGAGAUCAUACAGAACACCGAUUGCGAAGGCAGCUUACCAAGCUACAUCUGACGUUGAGGCACGAAAGCGUGGGGAGCAAACAGGAUUAGAUACCCUUGUAGUC